rnacentral:rRNA from 1 species
UUGCGGUUAAAAAGCUCGUAGUUGGAUCUCGGCAAGUAGAGGGCGGUAUGCUUCGUAGCAUUACUGCCCUAUUACUUGUAGUUUUGCCAGAGGUUCCUGGGUGCUCUUAAUCGAGUGUCUAGGGAUGCUGGCAGGUUUACUUUGAAAAAAUUAGAGUGCUCAAAGCAGGCUAUUACGCUUGAAUAUUCGUGCAUGGAAUAAUAGAAUAGGAAGUUGUUUCUAUUUUGUUGGUUUUCGGAAAUCGACUUAAUGAUUAAUAGGGACAGUCGGGGGCAUUUGUAUUCAAACGACAGAGGUGAAAUUCUUGGACCGUUUGAAGACAAACUACUGCGAAAGCAUUUGCCAAGAAUGUUUUCAUUAAUCAAGAACGAAAGUUAGAGGUUCGAAGGCGAUUAGAUACCGCCCUAGUUCUAACCAUAAACGAUGCCAGCUAGCGAUCUGAGGACGUUUUUUUUGUAGACUCCUCAGGAAGCUUCCGGGAAACCAAAGCGUGUGGGUUCCGGGGGAAGUAUGGUUGCAAAGCUGAAACUUAAAGGAAUUGACGGAAGGGCACCACCAGGAGUGGAGCCUGCGGCUUAAUUUGACUC